CUCUAUGUCUUCUGUGUUCUGACUUUCACCACAUUGUCGUUCAUCUCUAUGCUCUUUCUCGGACUUCGAAGCCUUCUUUUCUGAAGUUCCGUCUAACUGGAGAUCCGGGGGUGAGCUUGUUGGAGAAUUCCCAGUCGUUUCUACAGGUGAAAGCUGUGCUGGUGGAUGUGGCUGGGGUGACUUAAGAGCGCUAGCUACAGGUGAAAGCGGUGUCGGUGGGGGAGGUGGUGGUUUGAUGCUAAGGAUGGGCUCUUUCUGGUUGCCUUUGUCAGCCAAAGACAGCUUGUCAAUGCCCAGCUCCGCAGCUUUUGACU
rnacentral:lncRNA from 1 species